rnacentral:rRNA from 1 species
CAGUCGCCGCGGGAAUACGGAGGGUGCAAGCGUUAAUCGGAAUUACUGGGCGUAAAGCGCACGCAGGCGGUUUGUUAAGUCAGAUGUGAAAUCCCCGAGCUUAACUUAGGAAUUGCAUUCGAUACUGGGAAGCUAGAGUAUGGGAGAGGAUGGUAGAAUUCCAGGUGUAGCGGUGAAAUGCGUAGAGAUCUGGAGGAAUACCGAUGGCGAAGGCAGCCAUCUGGCCUAAUACUGACGCUGAGGUACGAAAGCAUGGGGAGCAAACAGGAUUAGAUACCCCUGUAGUCCCUGUCUCUUAUAC